CUUCCCGUGAGGCCCGGCGGCCGGCGCAGGCGCAGACGAGCCGGAUUCCGACCGGGGCGCCUCUGAGUUGGCUGGAAUGGUGCAACGCGGGUGGGAGCCCACCGGCUCGGACCUUUUAGGGCCGACUGAGCACUCCGCGCGCACAUACCCGGGCUCCGGAGACCAGGAUUGCCCUCUGCCCUGCAGUCCUGGGCUAACGCUGCCCUCGGCUGGGCUUGGGGCUCGGGCUUUUCCGCGUCGAGCCGGGCAAGCGUGGGUGACUACCCGGCCGGCGGGCAGCAGCUUCCUGCCGGGCGACACGGCCUGCAGCCAGUCCGUCUCUUCACAAAGGUUGUUGUUGAGAACUGUCGCCGUGCCAAUGGGCAGGGGUCGGUCGCACUCAAGGGACCGGAGGCUCUGUAUCACAAGAUAGAACUCAAGUUCUAUUCCUAGGGAACCCGUGCCGAGCAAAAUCUUACAGUAAUUUUAAGUCAGCUAUGGAAACUGAGGCCUCGAGAGGUUAAAUAAGGAAUCCAAGAUGUUAGAGCUGUUAAGGUGUUGGGAGCAAUUUCAACCCACACCGCCCAACUCCAGACUCCUGCCUUAACUGCCGCGCUAAUUUUGGAAGAAAUGCACACCCACUGGAAUAAGAAAAAUAUAGAAGAGCAUAAAGAGGAAAAAAUUACCCUUGGCUCACCAACCCAAGAUGAACACUCAAAAUGUGCACGUGUCCUUAUUGCUGUCUUCGGUAUAUUUUUAAUAAUGACAUUGUCUUACAUA